CUGUCCUCUCUGACACCACCCCGGCCUGCCUCUUUGUUGCCAUGAGAGCUGCCUACCUCUUCCUGCUAUUCCUGCCUGCAGGCCUGCUGGCUCAGGGCCAGUAUGACCUGGACCCGCUGCCGCCGUUCCCUGACCACGUCCAGUACACCCACUAUAGCGACCAGAUCGACAACCCAGACUACUAUGAUUAUCAAGGUAAUGGGCUAGGGGUAGGAUAGGACAGGCCGGCAGCUGGGGUGGGGAGACCCCCUGGGAGGGGUAGAGGGAGCAGACCCCCUUAUCCUCCCCUGGCUGCAGAGGUGACUCCUCGGCCCUCCGAGGAACAGUUCCAGUUCCAGUCCCAGCAGCAAGUCCAACAGGAAGUCAUCCCAGCCCCAACCCCAGAACCAGGCAAUGCAGAGCUGGAGCCCACAGAGCCUGGGCCUCUUGGUAAGGGCUUUCUUGACAGCCGGAAAAAUGGAGGCACGGCCUGAAGUUGGGGUGGAGUAGGGGGCGGUGCUGGUGGGCUGGAGGUCUUUGGCCCUUGUCCGUGUGGGCUCUUGGCAGUAAUGUGGGCAGUAUGACUGCCAUAGGCUGGCAUUACCAGGCCCCCCCAGGCAGCUGCAGGAGGUCCCACCUGUCCCCAGCGUGCCUGGCUGGAGGCUAAAUUGGCAGCCUAGGAAGUCCCCUGUCCUCACAGAUACUG
rnacentral:sRNA from 1 species